GAGUGGAGGCGGUGAAAAGCUCAAAUUUAAAAUCUGGCAGUCUUUGAUUGUCCGAGUUGUAAACUAGAGAAGUGUUAUCCGCGCUGGACCGUGUAAAAGUCUCCUGGAAUGGAGCAUCAUAGAGGGUGAGAAUCCCGUCUUUGACAUGGACUACCAGUGCUUUGUGAUGCGCUCUCAAAGAGUCGAGUUGUUUGGGAAUGCAGCUCAAAAUGGGUGGUAAAUUCCAUCUAAAGCUAAAUAUUGGCGAGAGACCGAUAGCGAACAAGUACCGUGAGGGAAAGAUGAAAAGAACUUUGGAAAGAGAGUUAAACAGUACGUGAAAUUGCUGAAAGGGAAACGCUUGAAGUCAGUCGCGUCGGCCAGGAAUCAACCUUGCUUUUGCUGGGCGUACUUUCUGGUUGACGGGUCAGCAUCAAUUUUGACUGCUGGAAAAAGCUCAAGGGAAUGUGGCAUCUUCGGAUGUGUUAUAGCCCUUGUUCGCAUACAGCAGUUGGGAUUGAGGUACUCAGCAGAAAAAAAA
rnacentral:rRNA from 1 species